rnacentral:rRNA from 1 species
CUAGGAUGAACGCUGGCGGCGUGCCUAAUACAUGCAAGUGAAACGGGUAUCUUCGGAUACCAGUCGCGGACGGGUGAGUAAUACAUAGGCAACCUGCCUUUAUGAGGGGGAUAACCGAGGGAAACUUUGGCUAAUACCGCAUGAAGACUCUAAGGCAUCUUAGAGGGAUAAAAGUUGGGAAACAACGCAUGAAGAUGGGCUUAUGGCGCAUUAGCUAGUUGGUGAGAUAGAAGCCCACCAAGGUAAUGAUGCGUAGCCGACCUGAGAGGGUGAACGGCCACAUUGGGACUGAGACACGGCCCAAACUCCUACGGGAGGCAGCAGUAGGGAAUUUUCGGCAAUGGGGGGAACCCUGACCGAGCAACGCCGCGUGAAGGAAAGAAGGUUUUCGGAUUGUAAACUUCUGUUAUAAGGGAAGAACGGAUUGGAUAGGGAAUGAUCUGAUAGUGACGGUACCUUAUUAGAAAGCCACGGCUAACUACGUGCCAGCAGCAGC